rnacentral:tRNA from 1 species
ACCUGGCUGGCUCAGUUGGCAAAGCAUGAGACUCUUAAUCUCUCGGUCAUGAGUUCAAGCCCCCUGCAGGGCU